AUACAGUAUUCAACGAAACAGCAACAUGAUGCAACUAUCGAAACUUUUGUUCGCCUUUGUGGGCGUCAUUUUAAUGUCAGGAUUUUUCGUGACACCAGCUGAGUCUCUACCAUGCAGCUGCAGAAAGAGACCAAUACCCAGAGGAUGUAGGGCUGCCUGUCUAGGUUAAAAAUCCUACUGACGAUAAUAAUGUAACUUUCACUGUACAAGUGAACAGCAUGGAAUAAAUUACAUGCCUUU